rnacentral:rRNA from 1 species
UGGGGAAUAUUGGGCAAUGGGGGAAACCCUGACCCAGCAACGCCGCGUGAAGGAAGAAGGCCUUCGGGUUGUAAACUUCUUUUACCAGGGACGAAGGAAGUGACGGUACCUGGAGAAAAAGCAACGGCUAACUACGUGCCAGCAGCCGCGGUAAUACGUAGGUUGCGAGCGUUGUCCGGAUUUACUGGGUGUAAAGGGCGUGUAGGCGGAGAAGCAAGUUGGGAGUGAAAUCUAUGGGCUCAACCCAUAAACUGCUCUCAAAACUGUUUCCCUUGAGUAUCGGAGAGGCAAGCGGAAUUCCUAGUGUAGCGGUGAAAUGCGUAGAUAUUAGGAGGAACACCAGUGGCGAAGGCGGCUUGCUGGACGACAACUGACGCUGAGGCGCGAAAGCGUGGGGAGCAAACAGGAUUAGAUACCC